GAAAGGAGAGUCACUGCAGUAAUCCACACCUUUCUUGAAAUCUGUGGCAUAGCCAUGCUGUACAGGGGAUGGACACAGUAAGGGUAGCUUCAGGGGAAAAACAAUAAAAAGAAUGUCAUGUUACUAAUGAACUCAAUUUGCAGCAGUUCAUAUUUUGGACUAGCUGGGCUCUGUAACAGUUGGCUGCUUGCUGCUUCUGCUUGACUCCUUGGGAGCUGCUCGUGUAGUACCUCUUUUAAGCUCCCGCUGCCCUGAUCUAAAUUAGUUUGGGUUUAUGUAUUCUGGGAAUAGUUGUGCUUAAUGUUUCUUGCCUGGAACAAACAUCAACAAUCACCUGUAAAUAUAUUCUGUAGCUGACAUUUUGAAGUCACAGUGGGCAAACAGGUAUUUUUGAAUGUCAGGGUAUACAUAUGCAUUUUUAUUGAUUCGGCAUUAUAGAGCACUUUUUCAUGACAUCUGCAGAAAAGAACUCAAAGUCUCAGUGCGUUCAUGUCCAACCGUAUGAAGUUAGUGGUGAGGUACACAUCUAAUACUGAAGGGCAUGUCCUCAUGGGACUGGUGAGCAGCUGUGUUUGAGUUCUGUUGACUUCCCCACCAUUCUUCACCUUCUUGCAAAUGAUUUGUGUUGGAUCCUUUUUUCUGGGGUGAUUUGUUCAGUGUAUGUGCUCAGCCAUUUUGAUUACUGCACUCAUUUGUGGAGCCAUUGUACAGGAAAGACCAAAACUCGUUUACAGAUGUUCUACUCAUUUCUGAGCCUGGAUAUAGUUACUGCAUACUUAAAAUUCCCUGUUACCUCUUUGAGAGACAUGUGCAUAAAGACAUUGUGCUAGAAUCAAUACUGUUCACACUCGAUAUAAACAUUUAAGGAAUCUACGGUAUGAAAUUGUUAACUUUUAAUGUUUGUUUGCUAAUUUAUAUUGGAAAAUCUCUGAUCAAUGUGCUAUACAAAAUAAUUGGAGGACCAAGGUUUCCAGCUACUCAUACUGCCUUUUUGAGUAUCUUACUGUAUCUUGAUUGGAUGCUAUUCUUUCGUUGUCUGAGAUUGUUCUGGUGAUUGUAUUGAUAUAUCUUAUUUUAAACUAUGUGGCAAGGAAGAUUGUAAUAAAAGCAACUACAUUUAAUAUACUGUACACACAAAUUGUUAGAUCCUAUUUUUGGAUAUGUUAAUCAUUUCAGAAUUAAACAAAUCAAGAACAGUUUGAUAGUCUUACUGAAUAAGUGGAUGUAAUUAAAGGUUUAAUUAGAUAUAUCCUGGUAUAGAGAACGGAUAGUUAAUGAAAGAAGGUACCUUUGUGCUCCGCAGUCAUCUCAGUGCAAGGAAAUAGGUCUCUAGAGGAGAAUAACAUCCUUGUCUUCUUAGAUUUUCUCCUGUGAAGUUUCAUGGGAAGACAACUGCUGACACCUGCAGCACUGCUCUUGUAUGCCUUGUACUUGCAUGUGCAGGACCUCCCCAUGAUGUGCUCCUUAUUUCUGCAAAGAAGGUGAGAAAAGAGGCCUGAAGUAAGGAUCACAGUUCAUUUUCAGCUCUGUUUCUUGUGCGGCACUUAGCUGAACACCCCUUCACACAGAGUAAGUUUUAUCUUACAGCAGAGCAUACAAGACUAUACAGUUGGAAACAAUUGUUUCUGCCUCUCAGAACAAGUGCUUCUGUCAGCACUCUACAUUGUGUAUGCUGUGCCAGUUUGCAGGAGGAGGAGAGCAGGUAUCCAAUUUAAGGAGAGCAGUGGUUAUUGGAGAAGAUUCUUUUACUGGCUGG
rnacentral:lncRNA from 1 species